rnacentral:rRNA from 1 species
UACGAAGGGGGGCUAGCGUUGCUCGGAAUCACUGGGCGUAAAGCGCACGUAGGCGGCUUUUUUAAGUCAGAGGUGAAAUCCUGGAGCUCAACUCCAGAACUGCCUUUGAUACUGAGAAGCUUGAGUCCGGGAGAGGUGAGUGGAACUGCGAGUGUAGAGGUGAAAUUCGUAGAUAUUCGCAAGAACACCAGUGGCGAAGGCGGCUCACUGGCCCGGUACUGACGCUGAGGUGCGAAAGCGUGGGGAGCAAACAGG